rfam:Gossypium arboreum cultivar AKA8401 contig_23686_3, whole genome shotgun sequence.
AACCCAUGGUGAGGGCACCUUCUCAAUAAGUCAUUGUAUCUCUCACAUGUAUCAUAAAGAGCUUCUAAAUCGAUCUGCACAAAAAAAGAGAUAUCAUUCCUCAAUUU